UACAGAGGUCCCAAGCGUUGUUCGGAUUCACUGGGCGUAAAGGGUGCGUAGGUGGCCAGGUAAGUUUGGUGUGAAAGCUCGGAGCUCAACUCCGAAAUGGCAUUGAAUACUAUCUGGCUGGAGGGUCGGAGGGGAGACUGGAAUUCUCGGUGUAGCAGUGAAAUGCGUAGAUAUCGAGAGGAACACCAGUGGCGAAGGCGACUUUCUGGUCUGUAACUGACACUGAGGCGCGAAAGCGUGGGGAGCGAACAGG
rnacentral:rRNA from 1 species